rnacentral:lncRNA from 10 species
GAGCCUCUUCAGCUCCAUUCUGGCAGAAGAUGGGAGCAUGAAUCACAAAUAAACAAACAAGCCAACAGACCUACUAUACCACCCGCCAGGCUCAAUUAUGUCCUGAAGCAAAUGCUUGGAUACCUUCAGGAAAACAUGUUCCAAGAGAGAAAGGUUAUUUCUCUCAUGCUCAGCUCCCCUAGAGUUGAGCUCGAGGAAAAUACCAGAGGCUAACAUGACUGACUGCCCUAGCCAUCUGCCUUGGGCCGUGGAAAGGAGAGAAAUAAUAUUUUGUUCAUAUUAUCACAUUUAAUUGUCCUAUAGUCCUUUGAGAUAGCUCCUCGUAUAUCCCAUUUUACAGAUGCAGGACCAGGCAAAGAGAAUGAGUCACUUGCCUGCAGUCACACCUCCUGGAAGGUGCAACCCAGACUCAAACUCAGGCCACUGGAUGCCAGAUCUUGGGCCCUUAGCCACUUUCUUCUUCUGCUGAGGCCGUAAAUAGUCAGUUUCCUGGUGUUUCUAACUCUCACUGUAAAUUAAUAAACUGGCCUUUUGGUUUAUAAAACAACAGAAUGGAAGUGCACUUAGUGUUUGCUAACAAAGGAGGCUUGCAAUGCCAAGGUGUCAUUGUCAUCUUUGGCUGCUUAAGUUUCCUGCUUGAGUUUCCCGUCCAGAAGAAGUAGUCUCUGGGCUGUCGGAAAAUGCACUCUGGAACCUGGAGCACCCCUCCCUUGCCCAGGGAAUUUCUGCCCAGCCAGCAAAAUUGCUUUGCUCCAAGCCCAGAAAAGUCUCUGGCUUCCCUCUGAUCUUGCUCCCAGAUGUGGGAAGCUGAAGGGAGGAGCAUCGUAAUCUCUAAACAGCCAUGGGACAGAUAACCUCAACUUUCCACUGAGCUGAGAUUUGAUUCAACAUGAUAAAAAGGUGUGCUUACCAUGGACACAGGGAGGGGAACAACACACACUGGGGCUUGGCAGGGGCGAGGGGCAGAGGGAGGGAGAGGAUCAGGACAAAUAGCUAGUGGAUGCUGGGCUUUGUUUACUGUGGGGCAAACAGCUUCCUCUUAGUGUCAAUGUGUGUGCAUGCCAAUGUCAGGCAUGAUGCUGCACUCCAAGGCAAACAAAACACAUAUUAGAUCAUGUCAAAGGGUUGCUUCUCCUUGGUCAUUUGCCUCAGCAGAGACACUUCACAUAAUCUCUGAAAAACCCCAAGCCAUGACAUGACCUCUUUACCAAAGAAAGAGAAAAUGAAUAUUAGCUGUGCAUUGGAGGCAUGGCUCUUCCUUUUCUUUAAAGAGCAAACAAGUUUCAUUAUUUUGCAUACCAUACAGUGAUAUCCAAGAAGAAGGGUUUUGACUUGACCAUAAUGUUCAUUCGCUGAGUAA